GAUGAACGCUGGCGGCGUGCUAAACACAUGCAAGUCGAACGGUGAAGCAGGAGCUUGCUCUUGUGGAUCAGUGGCGAACGGGUGAGUAACACGUGAGCAACCUGCCCCUGACUCUGGGAUAAGCGCUGGAAACGGCGUCUAAUACUGGAUAUGUGAUGUGACCGCAUGGUCUGCAUCUGGAAAGAAUUUCGGUUGGGGAUGGGCUCGCGGCCUAUCAGCUUGUUGGUGAGGUAAUGGCCCACCAAGGCGUCGACGGGUAGCCGGCCUGAGAGGGUGACCGGCCACACUGGGACUGAGACACGGCCCAGACUCCUACGGGAGGCAGCAGUGGGGAAUAUUGCACAAUGGGCGGAAGCCUGAUGCAGCAACGCCGCGUGAGGGAUGACGGCCUUCGGGUUGUAAACCUCUUUUAGCAGGGAAGAAGCGAAAGUGACGGUACCUGCAGAAAAAGCACCGGCUAACUACGUGCCAGCCGCCGCAGUAA
rnacentral:rRNA from 1 species